rnacentral:rRNA from 1 species
GACGGGUGAGUAACGCGUAAAGAACUUGCCUCACAGCUAGGGACAACAUUUAGAAAUGAAUGCUAAUACCUGAUAUUAUGAUUUUAAGGCAUCUUAGAAUUAUGAAAGCUAUAAGCACUGUGAGAGAGCUUUGCGUCCCAUUAGCUAGUUGGAGAGGUAACAGCUCACCAAGGCGAUGAUGGGUAGCCGGCCUGAGAGGGUGAACGGCCACAAGGGGACUGAGACACGGCCCUUACUCC